UGCCCCGAAAACCUAAGGAUUCCUCUGGAAGGUUCGUCCACGGAGGGUGAGUCAGGGCCUAAGGCGAGGCUGAAAAGCGUAGUCGAUGGAUAACAGGUUAAUAUUCCUGUACUGUUUGUAGUUGAUAACGAAGGACGAAGAAGGCUAAGUCAUCCGGACGUUGGUUACCGGUUUAAACUUUCAAUACGAUGAAGAAUGGAGAAAACAUUCUGAGUAAAGAAGUGAAUACAAAAUACUAAGGUAUUAAAGUGAUUGACGUCAUACUUCCUAGAAAAGUUCGAUCUAUCUUAAAUUAUAAAUACCUGUACCCGAAACCGACACAGGUAGGUAGGUAGAGUAUACCAAGGGGCGCGAGAUAACUCUCUCUAAGGAACUCGGCAAAAUGGCCCCGUAACUUCGGAAGAAGGGGUACCCUUUUAGGGUUGCAAUAACCAGGCCCAAGCGACUGUUUAUCAAAAACACAGGUCUCCGCUAAGUCGUAAGACAAUGUAUGGGGGCUGACGCCUGCCCAGUGCCGGAAGGUUAAAGAAGUUGGUUAAUAUUUUUAUGAAGCUGACAACUGAAGCCCCGGUGAACGGCGGCCGUAACAAUAACGGUCCUAAGGUAGCGAAAUUCCUUGUCGGGUAAGUUCCGACCCGCACGAAAGGCGUAACGAUUUGGGUACUGUCUCAGAGAGAGACUCGGCGAAAUAGACUUGUCUGUGAAGAUGCGGACUACCUGCACCUGGACAGAAAGACCCUAUGAAGCUUUACUGUAACUUGGAAUUGAGUUUGGGCUUUUCUUGCGCAGUAUAGGUGGGAGGCUAAGAAAAUAAGUUUGCGGAUUUAUUAGAGCCAUCAGUGAGAUACCACUCUAGGAAAGCUAAAAUUCUAACCUUGAAAGCCGUUAACCGGCCAAGGAACAGUUUCAGGCGGGCAGUUUGACUGGGGCGGUCGCCUCCUAAAAAGUAACGGAGGCGUGCAAAGGUUCCCUCAGGCUGGUUGGAAAUCAGUCGUAGAGUGUAAAGGCAUAAGGGAGCUUGACUGCAAGACCUACAAGUCGAGCAGAGACGAAAGUCGGCCUUAGUGAUCCGACAGUACCGAGUGGAAGGGCUGUCGCUCAACGGAUAAAAGUUA
rnacentral:rRNA from 1 species